rnacentral:rRNA from 1 species
CCUACGGGAGGCAGCAGCAGGAAAUAUUGCACAAUGGGCGAAAGCCUGAUGCAGCGACGCCGCGUGCGGGAUGAAGGCCUUCGGGUUGUAAACCGCUUUCAGGAGGGACGAAAAUGACGGUACCUCCAGAAGAAGGCCCGGCCAACUACGUGCCAGCAGCCGCGGUAAU